AUUGAACGCUGGCGGCAGGCCUAACACAUGCAAGUCGAGCGGAUGAAGGGAGCUUGCUCCUGGAUUCAGCGGCGGACGGGUGAGUAAUGCCUAGGAAUCUGCCUGGUAGUGGGGGAUAACGUCCGGAAACGGGCGCUAAUACCGCAUACGUCCUGAGGGAGAAAGUGGGGGAUCUUCGGACCUCACGCUAUCAGAUGAGCCUAGGUGGGAUUAGCUAGUUGGUGGGGUAAAGGCCUACCAAGGCGACGAUCCGUAACUGGUCUGAGAGGAUGAUCAGUCACACUGGAACUGAGACACGGUCCAGACUCCUACGGGAGGCAGCAGUGGGGAAUAUCGGACAAUGGGCGAAAGCCUGAUCCAGCCAUGCCGCGUGUGUGAAGAAGGUCUUCGGAUUGUAAAGCACUUUAAGUUGGGAGGAAGGGCAGUAAGUUAAUACCUUGCUGUUUUGACGUUACCAACAGAAUAAGCACCGGCUAACUUCGUG
rnacentral:rRNA from 1 species